GAUUCCAGUUUUUAGUUUGAUAUAAUAAUAGCUAGAACGUAUUGAAAUACAUUCUUACUCUAAAUAAUUGAGCAAUCUACUAAAAAGGUUCCAAACAGAAUAAUAUAGUCAAAUUCCAUUUGUGAAACAGAAUGCAUUACAACAUUCGAUGCUUAUAAGGAAGCUAUGUGAUUGUACAGGUUCACUGGCAAGCUAGAAGUGGCACCCUC
rnacentral:lncRNA from 1 species